CAGCCGCCGCGGUAAUACGUAGGGUGCGAGCGUUAAUCGGAAUUACUGGGCGUAAAGCGUGCGCAGGCGGUUCGUUAAGACAGAUGUGAAAUCCCCGGGCUUAACCUGGGAACUGCAUUUGUGACUGGCGAGCUAGAGUAUGGCAGAGGGGGGUAGAAUUCCACGUGUAGCAGUGAAAUGCGUAGAGAUGUGGAGGAAUACCGAUGGCGAAGGCAGCCCCCUGGGCCAAUACUGACGCUCAUGCACGAGAGCGUGGGGAGCAAACAGGAUUAGAGACCCCUGUAGUCCCUGUCUCUUAUAC
rnacentral:rRNA from 1 species